GAUGAACGCUGGCGGCGUGCCUAAUACAUGCCAGUCGAGCGAACAGACGAGGAGCUUGCUCCUCUGACGUUAGCGGCGGACGGGUGAGUAACACGUGGAUAACCUACCUAUAAGACUGGGAUAACUUCGGGAAACCGGAGCUAAUACCGGAUAAUAUAUUGAACCGCAUGGUUCAAUAGUGAAAGACGGUUUUGCUGUCACUUAUAGAUGGAUCCGCGCCGCAUUAGCUAGUUGGUAAGGUAACGGCUUACCAAGGCAACGAUGCGUAUCCGACCUGAGAGGGUGAUCGGCCACACUGGAACUGAGACACGGUCCAGACUCCUACGGGAGGCAGCAGUAGGGAAUCUUCCGCAAUGGGCGAAAGCCUGACGGAGCAACGCCGCGUGAGUGAUGAAGGUCUUCGGAUCGUAAAACUCUGUUAUUAGGGAAGAACAAAUGUGUAAGUAACUAUGCACGUCUUGACGGUACCUAAUCAGAAAGCCACGGCUAACUACGUG
rnacentral:rRNA from 1 species